AUCUGAUGUCUAUUAGAUUUGAGGCUUU
rnacentral:piRNA from 1 species